rnacentral:rRNA from 1 species
AUUGAACGCUGGCGGCAUGCCUUACACAUGCAAGUCGAACGGUAACGCGGGGCAACCUGGCGACGAGUGGCGAACGGGUGAGUAAUACAUCGGAACGUGCCCAGUAGUGGGGGAUAGCCCGGCGAAAGCCGGAUUAAUACCGCAUACGACCUACGGGCGAAAGUGGGGGAUCUCCAGACCUCGCGCUAUUGGAGCGGCCUAUGUCAGAUUAGCUAGUUGGUGGGGUAAAGGCCUACCAAGGCGACGAUCUGUAGCUGGUCUGAGAGGACGACCAGCCACACUGGGACUGAGACACGGCCCAGACUCCUACGGGAGGCAGCAGUGGGGAAUUUUGGACAAUGGGGGCAACCCUGAUCCAGCCAUGCCGCGUGCGGGAAGAAGGCCUUCGGGUUGUAAACCGCUUUUGUCGGGGAAGAAACGGUCUGCGCUAAUACCGCGGACUAAUGACGGUACCCGAAGAAUAAGCACCGGCUAACUACGUGCCAGCAGCCGCCGUAAGAC